rnacentral:snoRNA from 1 species
GGUCUUUUGUAGUUCAUAAGCAUGAUAACUGGAUUUUCAUGAUAUUGUGAGAUGUUUCUUUCUCAAGGUUUGCUAUGAUAUCGGCACAUUACUGGUCUGACA